rnacentral:rRNA from 1 species
GAUGAACGCUGGCGGCGUGCCUAAUACAUGCAAGUCGAGCGAACGGACGAGAAGCUUGCUUCUCUGAUGUUAGCGGCGGACGGGUGAGUAACACGUGGAUAACCUACCUAUAAGACUGGGAUAACUUCGGGAAACCGGAGCUAAUACCGGAUAAUAUUUUGAACCGCAUGGUUCAAAAGUGAAAGACGGUCUUGCUGUCACUUAUAGAUGGAUCCGCGCUGCAUUAGCUAGUUGGUAAGGUAACGGCUUACCAAGGCAACGAUGCAUAGCCUACCUGAGAGGGUGAUCGGCCACACUGGAACUGAGACACGGUCCAGACUCCUACGGGAGGCAGCAGUAGGGAAUCUUCCGCAAUGGGCGAAAGCCUGACGGAGCAACGCCGCGUGAGUGAUGAAGGUCUUCGGAUCGUAAAACUCUGUUAUUAGGGAAGAACAUAUGUGUAAGUAACUGUGCACAUCUUGACGGUACCUAAUCAGAAAGCCACGGCUAAUUACGUG